AGGUAAGGACCAAAGCUGGUAUUUGUCAUCAUUAAGGGAAUGGGCCAUUCUUCUUCCUCCUGUCUUCUAAUCAAUGGCAGUGCAACUUGCCUGGAAAAAAAUAGGGGAACAAAGAAAAACUCAAAAUUCUGGACCUAGAGUGUUGGUGAUGUCCCAUGAACACAGAAUUCUUGUGAGCCCAAGAUUCAUGGGAGUUCAGCAAGACUCAAAGGUCAAAGUAUGCACAAGAUAAAUGUGCUAUGUCUACAACUGAAUAAGAGUGACAUUGACAACUCCUAGAAACCAUGCUUUCUAAUCAAAGGAAGACUUAAUUUGAAUGAAGAAAGAAGGCAACUUUGUUUUAAGACACAUGGAUGAUCAACGAAUUCUACCAUAUCCUUUCUUACUUAUGUUACUGCCCUGCACCUGCCAAUCACUUGCCCUAAAAAGAAUGACAUAAAAAGAAAGGGAAAGAUAAGCAACCCAUAGUUUCUUCCAGUUUCAAUCCUUCCCUACUCAUCAGUAGGCUGGAAGUAGAAUGUGUUGACAGGAUGUGCAAGAAUCGAUAAGUAAUAUAAUAAAUACUUGAGCUAAUUCUGUGCAGCAUUUCACUGUGCUAGCAAGAAUGAAAUACUUAUGCAUGCACAAACUACAAACUACAAAUUGUGUGAUUUCAGUGAAUUCCACAUACAAUUUAAAUGCUCUUAUAUUUGCAUUAAAAUUGGCAUUGUGCAAUAUAAAAAUGUACAAUCAAAUGCCCACUAAAGAUAUAAAAUUUUAUUUUUAUUUAGAAUGACAAUAUCAAAUUAAAAAAACACAAUGAGAGGUCAAAGAAAAACUGUGGAAGAAAGGAAGAUGCUAGUAUUUUUAAUGACACUUUCCCCUUGCUUUUUGAAAACACACUUUCAUUUUGCACUCAGCACUAUAAAUAAUGUAGCAGGCCCUGGGUAACUAAUAUUAUUACAGUAAGUAUGCUUGAUAAAAUAGGUAACUCAUGCUGUGGAUGAACAACUACUUGGAUUAUUACAAAUACACAGAUUAAAAACACAUCCUUGAUUCAAUCCACAUAUCUUUUAUUUCUUGAGGGAGAUUGAAAAAUGGAAUGCAGAAAGACAUAAUGAAUAUUGACCCAACUAAAGGUCUGAAAGGAAAAAAAAAACUGCAUUAGUAAAUGUCAAUAGUUUAUUUUGUAACCAAACCUGAAAGAUGUACAUGUCUUGGGUGAAUCUCCACAAUGUUGAGAAAUGGAGGAUGGGGAAGCUACGAGCAAAUGGUUCCAAGAGUUCUCAAAGGGCAAAAAUUAUUCAAAUUUCCAUCAUCCAGAGUGAAGCAUAUUUGUUGAUCACUUGGGACAUUCAGUAGCAAGCCAGAAAGGUAGGUCCUUCUGAGUUAUUAGUGCAAUAUAGCUGAAGUUUUCCUAUAACAAAGAUUACUCUAUAACUGCCAUGACAAAAUUUAAGACCAAACUUAUCAAAUUUAGUCUCAAGAUCCUAUCAGAACGAAUCCAAUCCUUUUUAAGAAAAGAACAAAAUCCACACUUCUUUCUGUUUUUUAAAGAUUUUUCCUAUUCUGGUGGUUGCCAGGAGUUAGGGGAAGGGGAAGUGGGGUUUAAUGGGCAGGUGGUUUUAUUUUAGUGUGAUUAAAAUGAUUUCAGAACUACAUAGAGGUGGUAGUUGCAGAGCACUGGGAAUGUACUAAGGGCCACUAAUGGUAUACUUUAAAAUGGAUAAUUUUACUUUACAUGAAUUUAGCAUCAAAAAAAAAAAAAGUGAAGAAGAAGAAGAAGAAGAGGAAAAAGGAGGAGGAUGAGGAAGCUAGAGUGGCUACAUUAUUACCAGAUAAAGUGGACUUUAGACCAGGAAAGAUCACAAUGGAUAAAGAAGGUCAUUUCAUAGUGAUAAAUAGAUUCAUUUAUCAAGAGGAUAUAAUAAGAACUCUUAUAGGAAUUAACAAUAAGAUAUUCUGUUUCACUCUGGAAAAUAAACCCAAGAUCAAUGGAUGUUAGUUACAGGAAGGCAGCUUAAUGUGAAGAACAUUAACAGUAAAUAGGUUCAACCAAUGAUUUAAAGAAUAUGGCUAUAAGAAGUAAUAUGGCCUCAGGCCUGAGUUCCAAUCCCAGUUCUGCUAAUUAGUAGCAUUGUGAUCUUGUACAAUUUACUUAACUACUCUAAUCAUCAGUUUCUUACCUGUAAAACAAUAGUAAUAAAAUCUGCUUCCCAUUGAUGUCAGAAUUACAUGAAAUUGUAUCUGUAAAGCAGCACAGGACCUAUAGUAGACGUUGAUAUAUAUAAUACAUAUGAUAUAUAUACCAUAUACGAUGGGGGUUUGGAGAGGUGGUGGGGUUUCAGAGCUGACAGCCAAGAAAGAAUUUUGAAGAUGUUUUUGGUGCAAAAAGGUGAUUUUAUUAAAGCACAGCGACAGAACCCACAGGCAGAAAGAGCUGCACUGGGGUUAUGAAGAGUAACUGCCUAAAUACUGUGGAAUUGGGGGAGAUAAAGGCAAGAGGAAGUUUCUUAAAGGGAUUUCCAGGUGCUAAAGACUCACAGAUUGCUGGAGGACUGGCUAUUGUCAAGCUAAAGUGUUUUUUUGUUUUUUGUUUUUUUUACCCUCUAGUAAAGCAUUAUUAAAAUAGUAGGGAGUUCCUGGAGAUUAGGCUAUUGAUAAGAUUGCCUUCUUGUAAUUUAUUAAGAUAUUUGUAAACUGAUAAAGACUCUAUCAGUUUAACCAUUUGUUUUCUGUCCUUUCCUUUGUUCUCAGGCAUCCAGGAUUGCCUGCCAUGUGUCUCAAGUAUCCCAACCUGGGGAGGAGGAUGUUGUUAGCUUGUCCUUUGUCCUCAAUUUGCCUUAUGCUCCUUCAUCAAUAUAUACAAAUAUAAUUACAAACAAGUACUGGAAGGUACUGAUAUAGGUGAAAAAGUACAAUACAUUUUACUAUGGAAAUAAAAAUUUUAAUGGGGAGAGAAUACAAAAAAGGGUAGUUUUAUACCAAAAGCAAUGUUGGAGCUGAAUUUUGCAGACUGUCAGGAGUUUCCUUCCUUUGCAAUAAUAGUGCAUAAUAUGUAAUAUUAUGUAAUAGUGCAUAAUAUAUUAAAUAGUGUAUUUAAUAUUAAAUGAAACCAACAAGAUUUGAGACCCAAUAAAAAUUCAAAACCAAAAACCAAAAA